UACGUAGGGUGCAAGCGUUGUCCGGAAUUAUUGGGCGUAAAAGAGCUCGUAGGCGGUCUGUCGCGUCUGCUGUGAAAAACUCGGGGGCUUAACCCCGGGCCUGCAGUGGGUACGGGCAGACUAGAGUGCGGUAGGGGAGACUGGAAUUCCUGGUGUAGCGGUGAAAUGCGCAGAUAUCAGGAGGAAUACCGAUGGCGAAGGCAGGUCUCUGGGCUAUAACUGACGCUCAUGCACGAAAAGCGUGGGGGAGCAAACAGG
rnacentral:rRNA from 1 species